UGUAGAGCUGAAGCUGUGACUCAGGGAUGAGGAAGCUGCUGCUUCGGCAAAUGCUUGUCUCCAUCCUAAGCUGGUUCCUGGACACUAAGAUGCUUCUGCAGAAACCAAAACCAAAGCCAAAAACAUUCCACAGCGCUCCACACCAGGGCUUGCCAGCAACAGCAUUUGAGGCAGCAACGAGAUAGCUGGUGCCACUUCUGCCAUCAUGUUAAUAGGCAGAAUCUAACGUAUGUCCAGAAUAUAACUGCAAGAGAGGUUGAAGUUCUAUGAACUGGAGAGGGUUAGAAUCAAUCCUGAGUGUUGAUCUACAAUAUCAAGUACGAUGGGAAGAUUUUGAAGUGAGAACAGAAGAGUGAUAGGAUAUGAUGCACCUUUUACGAAACUGGCUAUGGUUACGGUGGCGAAAGGAGAGCGAGAGGAUGCUGGAAGCCGGAUGCAAGAAGAUGAGCUAGAAUCCGAGGGAUAGAAAUGAAGGUGCUGAAGGAUUAGCCCCUUGAAGAUGGCCGUUAAUCCAUAAAUGCAUCACGACAGACACAUGGGUUUGCAAAUCUGUGGGGAAAGCAUUAAUACCUCCUGCCUGAUGCAGAAAUAGGCAGGUUUCAUUUAAACUUGGAUUUUCAUUUUCUGCUUGGAGAAUUCAGUCAUUUUAAUAUCCAAAGAAACUAUUGUGGAAAAUUCAACUGGUGCAAAGUAGGUUUAACUGUCUAGAACAGAUGGGGGAAAGGGGUAUUU